UACGGAGGGUGCAAACGUUGCUCGGAAUCAUUGGGCGUAAAGCGCACGUAGGCGGCUCGUUAAGUCGGAUGUGAAAGCCCUGGGCUCAACCCAGGAAGUGCAUUCGAAACUGGCGAGCUUGAAUAUGGAAGAGGAUCGCGGAAUUCCCGGUGUAGAGGUGAAAUUCGUAGAUAUCGGGAGGAACACCAGUGGCGAAGGCGGCGAUCUGGGCCAAUAUUGACGCUGAGGUGCGAAAGCGUGGGGAGCAAACAGG
rnacentral:rRNA from 1 species